rnacentral:rRNA from 1 species
CCUACGGGUGGCUGCAGUGGGGAAUAUUGGACAAUGGGCGAAAGCCUGAUCCAGCCAUGCCGCGUGUGUGAAGAAGGCCUUCGGGUUGUAAAGCACUUUCAGUGGGGAAGAAAGCCUUGGGGCUAAUACCCUCGAGGAAGGACAUCACCCACAGAAGAAGCACCGGCUAACUCCGUGCCAGCAGCCGCGGUAAUACGGAGGGUGCGAGCGUUAAUCGGAAUUACUGGGCGUAAAGCGCGCGUAGGCGGUCUGAUAAGCCGGUUGUGAAAGCCCCGGGCUCAACCUGGGAACGGCAUCCGGUACUGUCAGGCUAGAGUGCAGGAGAGGAAGGUAGAAUUCCCGGUGUAGCGGUGAAAUGCGUAGAGAUCGGGAGGAAUACCAGUGGCGAAGGCGGCCUUCUGGACUGACACUGACGCUGAGGUGCGAAAGCGUGGGUAGCAAACAGGAUUAGAUACCCGUGUAGUC